CUUGUUUCCUGACACAGAAUAACAUCUUCUCACAGUGAAAUGAAACCUCAGUGUUCCCUCCCGCUCCCCGCACCCCAUGCAGCUCAGCCAUAUGGAAACAGCAGUAAACAAAAUCACCAGUGUGUCUCAAAACCGAAGGCAGGACAGCGAGUUGGCAGCAGCCUGAAGGGGAGAGAAGAAACCCAACCUCUUCAGAUCUUAGGAUUUAGCUUCUUAUCUGCUGGAUCCUGGGGGCAGGAUGGAGAAAGAGCCGGAAUGUCCGACGGCACCAACCACAUCCGGGACCAUAUUGCAGACACCACUGGGCCAACCAGUCGCCGCUCAGAGAGUGCGGUGCCCUCCUUCCCCCCUGGCACGCAGCCCGGCCACAUGCCUGGAGCUUCUGGUUCUUCCUGAACACACAGAAGCACCUCUGUGGUUAUGGGAUCUGGCAACUGCACGUUCAGCUCAUAUGAGAUGGACCAAGAGCACUUAGCUGUUAUAAACCAGCGUGGAAUUUGGCUUCUUUUCACCUCCAGCCACCGAGCAGCUGUCAGGCGCCACUGACUUCAAGUCAAUUGCUGGGCCUCAAAUUUAUUGGAUUUGCCUUUUUUGAUGCGGCAAGCUGCCAUGCCAGAAAAACCCACAUGGUAAGGACCUGUGGCCAGCAGCCUAUGGACAGCUGAGUCUGGCCAUCAGCCACUGAUGGGGCGUGCAAGCAGACCCUUCCCCAUUCGAGUAUUCAGGAGGUCCGGGAGCGAGCUGUUUAAGGGAUUCUAGGUCCUCAGCGUGAUUGGGGCCGCGCGUGAGCGAGCGGAGCGCAGCCCGCACCCCGGCUGGUGGCCUGCCCGCCCACGUGGGGCCGCGGCCCGUCGAAUGACUCCGUGCGAC